GCCGGGCGCGGUGGCUCACGCCUGUAAUCCCAGCACUUUGGGAGGCUGAGGUGGGUGGAUCACCUGAGGUCGGGAGCUGAAGACCAUCCUGGCCAACAUGGUGAAACCCCAUCUCUA
ensembl:misc_RNA Metazoa_SRP Metazoan signal recognition particle RNA